rnacentral:rRNA from 1 species
CAGUGGGGCCGUGCCGCCCUGAACAAGCCCGAUGUCUGAUCUUAGAAGCUAAGCAGGGUCGAGCCUGGUUAGUACUUGGAUGGGAGACCACCUAGGAAGACCAAGUGCUGUAGAUG